UACGAAGGGUGCAAACGUUGCUCGGAAUUAUUGGGCGUAAAGCGCACGUAGGCGGCUUAGCAAGUCGGAAGUGAAAUCCCUCGGCUCAACCAAGGAAGUGCUUUCGAAACUGCUGAGCUUGAGUACUUAAGAGGAUCGCGGAAUUCCCGGUGUAGAGGUGAAAUUCGUAGAUAUCGGGAGGAACACCAGUGGCGAAGGCGGCGAUCUGGAAGAUACUGACGCUGAGGUGCGAAAGCG
rnacentral:rRNA from 1 species